rnacentral:pre_miRNA from 1 species
AUAACAUUUGGACCGUCGGUCUACCGAGCAACAUCACCUGCUCUUGUAAGAUCUUUCCUUCCUCAU